rnacentral:rRNA from 1 species
UGAGGAAUAUUGCACAAUGGGGGAAACCCUGAUGCAGCAACGCCGCGUGGAGGAUGACGCAUUUCGGUGUGUAAACUCCUUUUAUAUGUCAAGAAAAUGACGGUAGCAUAUGAAUAAGCACCGGCUAACUCCGUGCCAGCAGCCGCGGUAAUACGGAGGGUGCAAGCGUUACUCGGAAUCACUGGGCGUAAAGGACGCGUAGGCGGGAUGCCAAGUCUGAUGUGAAAUCCUAUGGCUUAACCAUAGAACUGCAUUGGAAACUGGUAACCUAGAGUAUGGGAGGGGGAGAUGGAAUUAGUGGUGUAGGGGUAAAAUCCGUAGAUAUCACUAGGAAUACCGAAAGCGAAGGCGAUCUCCUGGAACAUAACUGACGCUGAGGCGUGAAAGCGUGGGGAGCAAACG